AACGAACGCUGGCGGCAUGCCUAACACAUGCAAGUCGAACGAGACCUUCGGGUCUAGGGGCGCACGGGUGCGUAACGCGUGGGAACCUGCCCUUAGGUUCGGAAUAACUCCCCGAAAGGGGUGCUAAUACCGGAUAAUGUCUUCGGACCAAAGAUUUAUCGCCUUUGGAUGGGCCCGCGUUGGAUUAGCUAGUUGGUAGGGUAAACGCCUACCAAGGCGACGAUCCCUAGCUGGUCUGAGAGGAUGAUCAGCCACACUGGGACUGAGACACGGCCCAGACUCCUACGGGAGGCAGCAGUGGGGAAUAUUGGACAAUGGGCGAAAGCCUGAUCCAGCCAUGCCGCGUGAGUGAUGAAGGCCUUAGGGUUGUAAAGCUCUUUUACCCGGGAUGAUAAUGACAGUACCGGGAGAAUAAGCUCCGGCUAACUCCGUG
rnacentral:rRNA from 1 species